ensembl:lncRNA
CUCCUCCUCCUCCUUUCAGCUCAAAUCGUGUCUGUCUUACUUCAAAAUACAAAGAGUUCAUUAGUCCUCUGAUCAUCCCUUGAUGACAUCCAGGGGGGCAACAAUUCUUGAGUUUAGUUCAAUCAGGCGAAGAUUUAUUCAGUCCAAAGGUCUCCCUCUGCAGGAAUCAUCAACCAUGAAGUUUGCGUGAUUACAUUUGGUGCAUUUGACUGACUGAGACACAAACCCUUUCUGUGGUAUUUCCUCGUGCCACGUGUCUGCAGGACACAAUAUUUACUUUGGUGAGUCGCACAGAGACUAACAAGGUGAAAACAAUAUCGGCUGCUAAUUAAAUUGACACGUACUUACUUUGUUAUUAGCCUCGAGGUGACGCCGAUCACUCAUCUUUACGACAGUGUAAAUUCAAAAAAGUCGUUUUAUUCUUGUUCAUCUCAGCUCACUAAGUGGCUGCUGGCAGUGAGGUUGACGCAUGAAAUGGAAAGAAACAGGAAAUGACUUGCUGACGCCGUCUGACCACAGCGGGAUGUCCCGACGGAGGCACGUCGACCCCCUCGCACACCUUCAAUUACUGUCAAGUCAUCACUUUGUUCUUAUUUUUUUAUUCCCCGUGUAAAAGUGUUAUUAAUGAAAUACUGAGGGAUAGCGUAGAAAAUAUUGGUUUAAUAAAAAUCGAAGUUUCUAAUCAAAACAAUAAAGCAAUAAAUCCAAGCUGCACAUCUACAUGAGAGCAGAACAGGAGAGAAGAGGACAAUCAAUACGGGUUAUUUUUUAAGGACAGUUUCACUGGGGAACUUGAACCUUUGUUCGUGUUUUCUCUUCCGACCCAGUCACCAGGAAAACAAGGUGCCGGCGUCAGAAAAGGGACGUGAGCCGGUUGCUGCGUCCGCCGUGACACCAGGAGGACGAUUCGACAGGAUGGUUUCCACCGGACGACGUUUCACGCCACCUUGUUUACUGGUUUUAUCACAUCCAAAGUCUCCUCUUUUAUACAUAGUUUAUACUUUGUGUUGGUAAAUUAGACCAGUGGUGAACACUUCAAUUACUGAUUAUUUUAGAUGUCUAAAGUAGAUCUACAGCAGAGCCAGGCAGCAUCCCCGUCCUCCAGAGUAAAGCCGAAGCAGAAGUUCUCAUUUUUAAAGGUCUGAAAGCCAUUUGACUUAUUCAUUCAAUAAAUAAACAUUACACCUGAGUACACAGCAUGAUGUUCAUUUAGUAGAUUAUGAUCCAUUAGAGUCAAACAGACCAUGUAGCAGGGAUGCCUUAGGGCGGGACUACUGUGAUUGACAGGGUACUACUGCCACCGGAGACGUAUUACAAACACGUUCACGUCCGUUCGCUGUUAGAAAAGGUCAAGCUGAACUCCGGGCUUUAAAACAGCAUCCCCAAACCACUGUCGCCAUGACAACAUCCACUCUUCAUACACAGCGUGUGGCUGGUGCUUUUAUUCAGAUUUCCAUCUACUGCGCACAGCACACACACUAAGGAUACAUUCUUCACACUGGCUGACUGUGUGAGUCUGACAAUUACAGUUUAAAGUGUGAUAAACACUAAAAUCCACACAUGUGUUGUGAGUCAUUGUGUUAAUUAAUUGCAUCUCAGGAGCUCUCUUGAUUGCGCUUCGUUCCUCGUCGUCGCCUCUUUCUUGUCUCGUGAAUUCUGUUUCUUUGUUUCCUUUUUCCCGAUCAAAUCAGGAGAACGUCGGAGUGGAGAGCAGACGGUCGGCCGCGCGUCUCCCAAUUACAGGGAAGUGUUUGCAAAGAGGGGCUGGGAUCCACUGCUGCCGAAUACACAAACAUUCAGCCUUCAACGCACUUGUCCAUUAAGGCGGCUUCCGUUGGAGAGAUUGGCCCCUUCGCCUGUGCGACGGAGUCUUCAUGUGACACGGCAAGUCGGUUUGCUCUUUAAAAGAUGUUCUUCGGAAAAAGGUUGUUGAGAAGCUUCGAGUAACAUCUCCUUUUAAAGAUAACUCAAAUACAGCAACCAAGCUGCUGCAGAGUCCAAAUCUGUUCUUUUGAAACAGAAUACAUAAUUCCCCUACGCAGCCAGCCGGUCUCUCAGGUCAGCUGACCAGCUGCUCCUGAGGGUUCGGAAAACAAGGCUGAAGCUCAGAGGGCAACGAGCAUUUUCUGUUAUGGAACGAACUGCCGCUGAACAUUAGACCUCCUCACUGUCUCAUGUCAAAACUCUUCCUCAAACGCACCUUUUUUCUUUGGCUUUUAACACUACGUAGGUUGUUGAUUUCAUGUGCACGAAUAUUUUAUCUGGCGAGAGUCGAUUUAUUUAUUUAUUAUGUUUUAUUGUGUUGAUUUUACUGUACAGCACUUUGGGAACCUUUGUGCUUUAGGAAUAAGAACGGAGCUAAUUAAAAAAGAGGAGGCGUAUCUUUUUUCCGUAUUGAACGCUAUGCGGACGGAGCACAUGCUUUUAGGAAAGCAGAACUAAACAUUAAAGUGUCACUGUGAGCCUGUAAUCAGUGGACUUAUGAGGAAAAUGUGCUUUUUAUGCGACGAGGCCGUAGCUGCAGUGCAGUGCAGGAGAAACCCUUUAUUUGUUGUGCGGACGGGAUUAUGGUUCUAAAUCAGCCUCUUUAUUGGUAAAAGAUUGAACUCUUUAUUCCAUUCAUCACGGCAUCUGCUUUAAAAUGGGAUCAGACAAUCAUGGAUCUGCAGCAGAAUUGCAGAAAUAGUGAGACUGGAUUGCCUGUAAAAAAGCAAAAGGUCGGUGUGACAAAUGGAAGAAUAGCUUUGCGUUAUGUCUCCUCUGCAGCGAUGCAUCCACACUGCGCACUGCUGUGUAGGUACGGAAUAGAGCGUAGAUGAAUUAUCCUGAUGCAGAUUGUAAAAGAAGAGUCCUUGUUGGACUUUUAGCCGUGUGUUUAGGUCCGCUGGGUGUGAUGGACGCGUGUACUGUCAUGAUUUAUUCACCACAGGACAGAGUUCUUCUCCCAUCCGACACCAGUGAUUAACGCCGGAGUUUUCGGGGCAUAAUCACAAUCUUUCCCUUUCCGCAUUAACGCCCAUUUUUUGAAGUGCUCUGUUUUGGGAAAUUAACAUUUAUUCUCUCAAUUGAUAUUUCUGAAAAUCCUUUUAAAAAAAAGUUUGGAGCGUGAAACCAAACCAUCCGACAAGAAGAUGAAUUGUGACCAUUACACAUGGAUUCAGAGCAAAAAUGAUAAUGGGAAAGACUGUGAACAUAAUUAGUUUAAUAGUGAAGAAACUACUCAUCCCGUGAACUAUUUUAAAUGGCAAUCACUCCCUCUGUAGAAAAUAAACUAAUUAUUGUGAAUCUAAAAGGCAGUUUUCAGUAAAUCAUUUCCGUAAUCUGAGAAAGUUUCCGAAGUGAAAUCCUGGAGUUGCAUCUACGUGGAUGACAACCACGCUCGCAUCAAACAUACUUAACACACAGUCUUUGCGGAAUGCUUCAUGUUGAGGGAAAAGCAUUAAAGUCACACAGCGAACUGUUUGUUUACAAGAAGAGCCGCCAUGUGCCGCUCGGCUCUGGUUUGUUUUGACAGAUGCCAGUUGAAGCUCCGCUGAAGAGCAAACACAAGAAAUGUAAAAGACAGAAAAACACCCAGCAAUGCAACACACACACACACACACACACACACGUAUAGAUGCAUUACGAAGGCCUCCAUGUCUGGUUCCUCUCGCGGGUCUUUAGUCCCCGCGGAACUGCUUAUGAGGACAUGUUUAAAAAGGAGAGUUAACUUAAACUCCGGGUCGGUUACCGCGGUAACUGACUCUGUGAACCCGAACCGCACGCCGGCGGCUCACAGUCCGAUAGCAGUGCGUCACAGCGUGAAAGAGGAGGAAUUAAUGGACGGCACAGGGGGAAACUCUACGGCGUAACUCACUGACGCUUUCCCCGCUUUAAUCCAGGCUCUUGUUUAAAGAUAAAUUUGCACAGCCCACACAUGGCCUAGAAACACUAAUAUCUCCACGUACACUAGAAUAGAAUGGCUUUAGGAUUAAGAUGUCCUUUCUCAUUCUCCACACAUGAGCUCAACUCAGAGUGAAUAAACUCUGAGUUGAAUUAAACAAACUGUGAUCAGCUGUUCUAGAACCAAAGGUCACACAGCUUUCCACCUCAGGGUUAAUUAACUCAGAGUUCAAGGUUAAUUAACUCAGAGUUCAGGGUUAUUUUAGAGUUCAGGGUUAAUUAACUCAGAGUUCAGGGUUAUUCAACUCAGAGUUCAAGGUUAAUUAACUCAGAGUUCAGGGUUAUUUUAGAGUUCAGGGUUAAUUAACUCAGAGUUCAGGGUUAUUCAACUCAGAGUUCAGGGUUAUUUUAGAGUUCAGGGUUAAUUAACUCAGAGUUCAGGGUUAUUUAACUCAGAGUUCAGGGUUAAUUAACUUUGAGUUCAGGGUUAAUUAACUCAGAGUUCAGGGUUAUUUAACUCAGAGUUCAGGGUUAAUUAACUUCGAGUUCAGGGUUAAUUAACUCAGAGUUCAGGGUUAAUUAACUCAGAGUUCAGGGUUAUUCAACUCAGAGUUCAAGGUUAAUUAACUCAGAGUUCAGGGUUAUUUUAGAGUUCAGGGUUAAUUAACUCAGAGUUCAGGGUUAUUUAACUCAGAGUUCAGGGUUAAUUAACUUUGAGUUCAGGGUUAAUUAACUCAGAGUUCAGGGUUAUUUAACUCAGAGUUCAGGGUUAUUUAACUCAGAGUUCUGGGUUACUUAACUCAGAGUUCAGGGUUAUUUAGUUCAGGGUUAAUUAACUCAGAUUUCAGGGUUAAUUAACUCAGAGUUCAGGGUUAAUUAACUCAGAGUUCAGGCUUAGCCUCACAGUUUGUGAAACCUUUCUAAAAGGCGUGUAGUUUUUCCCCCUUUUUGUGAGCCAGACACAGUUUUAUUUGGUCCCAAUUGUGACCCUUCAUAGUUUUAAUCCUUGUAUCAUAAUCUAUUCCGGAUAAUCUAAAAUCACUCUUUAGUUUUUAGUCCGUGAGAAUAAAACCUCUGAAUGUCCUCCCUUUGCAAGAACGAGUUAUUUUUAUAUGAAUUCUUGUCUCUGUGAGCUGAUGGAAGAUAAUUAUACUUUUUGAGAUUACAUCUUAUCAUUCCUGAAUCACUGAGGCUGAACGCUGUCUGACAUAAAGUCGACUUAUUUUACUGGAUCAUAAUGUGAGCUUCAAUCAUGCCUCUAAAGACUAUUGAUCGGUCCAUUUUUAAAUAACAAAUUCUAUGUGUAUUAUAUUAUAUUUGUUAUUUUUAAAAGUGUACAGUCUUACAUAUAUAUAUAUAUAUAUA